rnacentral:rRNA from 1 species
ACUGCUCAGUAACACGUGGAUAAUCUACCCUUAGGUCUGGAAUAACCCCGGGAAACUGGGGAUAAUACCGGAUAGAUCAUAGAUGCUGGAAUGCCCUAUGUUCUAAAGCUCCGGCGCCUAAGGAUGAGUCUGCGGUCUAUCAGGUUGUAGUGGGUGUAACGUACCUACUAGCCGACGACGGAUACGGGUUGUGAGAGCAAGAGCCCGGAGAUGGAUUCUGAGACACGAAUCCAGGCCCUACGGGGUGCAGCAGGCGCGAACACUUUACAAUGCGGGAAACCGCGAUAAGGGAACCCCGAGUGCCAGCACAAAGUGUUGGCUGUCCAGAUGAUUAAAUCUCAUUUGUUAGCAAGGGCCGGGCAAGACCGGUGCCAGCCGCCGCGGUAACACCGGCGGCCCGAGUGGUAACCGUUUUUAUUGGGUCUAAAGGGUCCGUAGCCGGUUUGAUCAGUCUUUUGGGAAAUCUGGCAGCUUAACUGUCAGGCUUCUAAGAGAUACUGUCAGGCUUGGGACCGGGAGAGGUAAGGGGUACUCCAAGGGUAGGAGUGAAAUCUUGUAAUCCUUGGGGGACCAUCUGUGGCGAAGGCGCCUUACCAGAACGGGUCCGACGGUGAGGGACGAAAGCUAGGGGAGCAAACCGGAUUAGAUACCCGGGUAGUCCUAGCUGUAAACGAUGCUCGCUAGGUGUCAGGCACGGUGCGUCCGUGUUUGGUGCCGUAGGGAAGCCGAGAAGCGAGCCACCUGGGAAGUACGGUCGCAAGGCUGAAACUUAAAGGAAUUGGCGGGGGAGCACUACAACGGGUGGAGCCUGCGGUUUAAUUGGAGUCAACGCCGGA